rnacentral:rRNA from 1 species
CCUACGGGAGGCUGCAGUAGGGAAUAUUCGGCAAUGGGGGGAACCCUGACCGAGCAACGCCGCGUGAAGGAAGAAGGUAUUCGUAAUGUAAAGUUCUUUUAACAGGGAAGAAAGAGAAAUUUGACGGUACCUGAAGAAUAAGCUCCGGCUAACUACGUGCCAGCAGCCGCGGUAAUACGUAGGGAGCGAGCGUUAUCCGGAAUUAUUGGGCGAAAAGGGUGCGUAGACGGCAUAGUAAGUCUUUGGUAAAAAUGCUGGGCUAAACCCAGUAGGGCAAAAGAUACUGCAAAGCUAGAGUAUGACAGAGGCAAGUGGAACUACAUGUGUAGCGGUGAAAUGCGUAAAUAUAUGUAAGAACACCAGUGGCGAAGGCGGCUUGCUGGGUCGAUACUGACAUUGAGGCACGAAAGCGUGGGGAGCAAACAGGAUUAGAUACCCCAGUAGUC